rnacentral:rRNA from 1 species
AAUCAACCGAGAUUCCCCCAGUAGCGGCGAGCGAACGGGGAGCAGCCCAGAGCCUGAAUCAGUGUGUGUGUUAGUGGAAGCGUCUGGAAAGGCGUGCGAUACAGGGUGACAGCCCCGUACACAAAAAUGCACAUACUGUGAGCUCGAUGAGUAGGGCGGGACACGUGGUAUCCUGUCUGAAUAUGGGGGGACCAUCCUCCAAGGCUAAAUACUCCUGACUGACCGAUAGUGAACCAGUACCGUGAGGGAAAGGCGAAAAGAACCCCGGCGAGGGGAGUGAAAAAGAACCUGAAACCGUGUACGUACAAGCAGUGGGAGCACGCUUAGGCGUGUGACUGCGUACCUUUUGUAUAAUGGGUCAGCGACUUAUAUUCUGUAGCAAGGUUAACCGAAUAGGGGAGCCGAAGGGAAACCGAGUCUUAACUGGGCGUUAAGUUGCAGGGUAUAGACCCGAAACCCGGUGAUCUAGCCAUGGGCAGGUUGAAGGUUGGGUAACACUAACUGGAGGACCGAACCGACUAAUGUUGAAAAAUUAGCGGAUGACUUGUGGCUGGGGGUGAAAGGCCAAUCAAACCGGGAGAUAGCUGGUUCUCCCCGAAAGCUAUUUAGGUAGCGCCUCGUGAAUUCAUCUCCGGGGGUAGAGCACUGUUUCGGCAAGGGGGUCAUCCCGACUUACCAACCCGAUGCAAACUGCGAAUACCGGAGAAUGUUAUCACGGGAGACACACGGCGGGUGCUAACGUCCGUCGUGAAGAGGGAAACAACCCAGACCGCCAGCUAAGGUCCCAAAGUCAUGGUUAAGUGGGAAACGAUGUGGGAAGGCCCAGACAGCCAGGAUGUUGGCUUAGAAGCAGCCAUCAUUUAAAGAAAGCGUAAUAGCUCACUGGUCGAGUCGGCCUGCGCGGAAGAUGUAACGGGGCUAAACCAUGCACCGAAGCUGCGGCAGCGACGCUUAUGCGUUGUUGGGUAGGGGAGCGUUCUGUAAGCCUGUGAAGGUGUGCUGUGAGGUAUGCUGGAGGUAUCAGAAGUGCGAAUGCUGACAUAAGUAACGAUAAAGCGGGUGAAAAGCCCGCUCGCCGGAAGACCAAGGGUUCCUGUCCAACGUUAAUCGGGGCAGGGUGAGUCGACCCCUAAGGCGAGGCCGAAAGGCGUAGUCGAUGGGAAACAGGUUAAUAUUCCUGUACUUGGUGUUACUGCGAAGGGGGGACGGAGAAGGCUAUGUUGGCCGGGCGACGGUUGUCCCGGUUUAAGCGUGUAGGCUGGUUUUCCAGGCAAAUCCGGAAAAUCAAGGCCGAGGCGUGAUGACGAGGCACUACGGUGCUGAAGCAACAAAUGCCCUGCUUCCAGGAAAAGCCUCUAAGCAUCAGGUAACAUCAAAUCGUACCCCAAACCGACACAGGUGGUCAGGUAGAGAAUACCAAGGCGCUUGAGAGAACUCGGGUGAAGGAACUAGGCAAAAUGGUGCCGUAACUUCGGGAGAAGGCACGCUGAUACGUAGGUGAAGCGACUUGCUCGUGGAGCUGAAAUCAGUCGAAGAUACCAGCUGGCUGCAACUGUUUAUUAAAAACACAGCACUGUGCAAACACGAAAGUGGACGUAUACGGUGUGACGCCUGCCCGGUGCCGGAAGGUUAAUUGAUGGGGUUAGCGCAAGCGAAGCUCUUGAUCGAAGCCCCGGUAAACGGCGGCCGUAACUAUAACGGUCCUAAGGUAGCGAAAUUCCUUGUCGGGUAAGUUCCGACCUGCACGAAUGGCGUAAUGAUGGCCAGGCUGUCUCCACCCGAGACUCAGUGAAAUUGAACUCGCUGUGAAGAUGCAGUGUACCCGCGGCAAGACGGAAAGACCCCGUGAACCUUUACUAUAGCUUGACACUGAACAUUGAGCCUUGAUGUGUAGGAUAGGUGGGAGGCUUUGAAGUGUGGACGCCAGUCUGCAUGGAGCCGACCUUGAAAUACCACCCUUUAAUGUUUGAUGUUCUAACGUGGACCCGUGAUCCGGGUUGCGGACAGUGUCUGGUGGGUAGUUUGACUGGGGCGGUCUCCUCCUAAAGAGUAACGGAGGAGCACGAAGGUUGGCUAAUCCUGGUCGGACAUCAGGAGGUUAGUGCAAUGGCAUAAGCCAGCUUGACUGCGAGCGUGACGGCGCGAGCAGGUGCGAAAGCAGGUCAUAGUGAUCCGGUGGUUCUGAAUGGAAGGGCCAUCGCUCAACGGAUAAAAGGUACUCCGGGGAUAACAGGCUGAUACCGCCCAAGAGUUCAUAUCGACGGCGGUGUUUGGCACCUCGAUGUCGGCUCAUCACAUCCUGGGGCUGAAGUAGGUCCCAAGGGUAUGGCUGUUCGCCAUUUAAAGUGGUACGCGAGCUGGGUUUAGAACGUCGUGAGACAGUUCGGUCCCUAUCUGCCGUGGGCGCUGGAGAACUGAGGGGGGCUGCUCCUAGUACGAGAGGACCGGAGUGGACGCAUCACUGGUGUUCGGGUUGUCAUGCCAAUGGCACUGCCCGGUAGCUAAAUGCGGAAGAGAUAAGUGCUGAAAGCAUCUAAGCACGAAACUUGCCCCGAGAUGAGUUCUCCCUGACCCUUUAAGGGUCCUGAAGGAACGUUGAAGACGACGACGUUGAUAGGCCGGGUGUGUAAGCGCAGCGAUGCGUUGAGCUAACCGGUACUAAUGAACCGUGAGGCUUAACCUUACAACGCCGAAG